rnacentral:lncRNA from 1 species
CAUAGCCUCAGGAGAGGGGAACACCAGGACGUGUAGUUACCUGUUCUCCAGGGCUGUCCAAAGGUCUCAGUGGAGAACACAGCGGGCUGAGGUUGAAGAAAGACCUUUGGGAGACAUAUUUCUGGGAUGUGAAAGUGAUUCUCAGCACUGAUGUUACCAUGAGUAUCAGUUGGAGCACAAGGAGCUAUGGUAGUAGGAGUGUUUGGGAGAGCUGGGUCUUGUUUACUUGAGAAAGGGGAACCUUCUGACUUCUUCUGACAUAAAUUAGCCCUGUAGCCAGCUA